rnacentral:rRNA from 1 species
GACGAACGCUGGCGGCGUGCCUAAUACAUGCAAGUAGGACGCACAGUCUAUACCGUAGCUUGCUACACCAUAGACUGUGAGUUGCGAACGGGUGAGUAACGCGUAGGUAACCUGCCUAUUAGAGGGGGAUAACUAUUGGAAACGAUAGCUAAUACCGCAUAACAGUAUGUAACACAUGUUAGAUGCUUGAAAGAUGCAAUUGCAUCGCUAGUAGAUGGACCUGCGUUGUAUUAGCUAGUAGGUAGGGUAAUGGCCUACCUAGGCGACGAUACAUAGCCGACCUGAGAGGGUGAUCGGCCACACUGGGACUGAGACACGGCCCAGACUCCUACGGGAGGCAGCAGUAGGGAAUCUUCGGCAAUGGGGGGAACCCUGACCGAGCAACGCCGCGUGAGUGAAGAAGGUUUUCGGAUCGUAAAGCUCUGUUGUUAAGGAAGAACGAGUGUGAGAAUGGAAAGUUCA